UCGUACAAACACAUCCGUGCACGUGUUGCAUUCACUAAGCUGUUUGCCACUCUGUAUCUUUGUGCACACACCAAUCAAGCCAAACUAAAUGUGGAGCUAAUAUGAGGAUGAAGACUAUUUGUACUUUCUUUGGACGUGGCGGCGGGGAGAAGCUGCAAUGACAUUGUCCGCCGGCAGAGGGCGCGCGUUGAAGUACAGCGCGGCAGCAGAUGCGCGUGCAUGAGCUGCUGCCAAAACCUCCCUGGUGAGCGGCACGACGUCACGUGACAGCAGAUGCGCGUGCAUGAGCAGCUGCCAAAACCUCCUCUGUGAGAGGCACGACGUCAUGUGACCCGGAUCUUAGCCGUCCUGUUCGCGGCGGGGCGGCUACUCCUGUCAUGGACGACUAGUUCCACCUCGACUCGCCGCCGCGGGGAGGAAGCCAACAGCUGCCCACUUGUACGUCCUGUUCUCGGCUGCAAGAGGACGCUAAUGGCGGCUCUUCUGGGCUCCAGUCGCGGGGACGCGGGCUUGGCGCGUCCGUGUGGAUGCUGAUGAUGAUGAUGAUGAUGAUGAUGAUGAUGAAGGUGAUGGCGUGCGGCCGAUGGGCACCCCGUAACCUGGCCACACCCUCACGCCUCAUCUGAUCGCAUCUCAUCCUCCAUUUUCUACAUUUGAGCCCCUCCCCCUCCUCGCCAUGACUGAGACGCCGCAGGACGCCCAGCUGGACCUGGAGCUCAGCCCCAGGCUGCUGGAUGGGUGCGAGGACUCGGGCCGCUACAAGGUGGUCCCCUCGGUGGUCUGCUCCAUGUGCUGCCUCUUUGGCGUCAUUUACUGCUUCUUUGCCGACUCAUCUCCAGCUGUGCAAUCUGCUCCAGGCUACCGCUGCUUCAAGGCCGUGAUGUUCCUGACCGGCCUGAUGUUUGGCUCCGUGGUCAUCUUCAUGCUCUGCUACAAGGAGCGCGUGCUGGACACCCAGCUGAGUGUGGAGGCUUCCGUGGGCAUCGGCCUGGGCAUCGGCACGCUCUGCGGCCUGGUCACCAUGCUGGUCCGCAGCGUGGGCCUCUUCAUGGUGGGCCUGCUGCUGGGCCUGCUGGUGGCCGUCGCCACGCUGGUGGGCAUGGAGGAGCUCUCCCACAGCCCGCCGCGCUCCGUCUGGGUGCCGCUGGGCGUGCUGCUGGGUCUGGGCAUGCUUUUCGCCGUUCUCACCCUCCAGUGGCAGCGCAUCUUCACCACGCUCUCCACGGCGGUUUUCGGUGCGGCCGUCAUCACUGUGGCGCUGGACUACUUUGUGGAGUUCUUCGCGCUGGUUUUCUACACGUACGAGCGCAUCAAAGCGGUGCCUGGCAAGCCGGUUUGCUGGAUUACAUGGGUGGUGCUGGGGGUGUGGCCCGCGCUCACCCUGCUGGGGGUCAUGGUCCAGUGGAAGGUGACCGCCGAAGGCUACUCACAUACCAAGGUCAUCAUCAGUCGGCAGCAGAGGCGGAUGCAGGUGAUGCGGAUUCGUCAAAGGGACGACCGCUACCGCCACAAGAAGAAGAAGAAGAAGCAUCAGGGGUCCUCCAGUCAACAGCAAGCCAAGCAACUCCACCAGGACCCCGCCUACCGCCGCAAGCCCAACCCUAUUCGCCGCUACGACACUGAUGUCCUCUCGCCGAGUUACAUUCAGAGUUUCCGAGAGCGGCAGGUGCAGGCGCAGCCUUUCCCGCGACAGUUCCUUGGCGGGCCACAUGCUGCAGUGGAUCUGGGCUUUGACCCUGGCUCCGCGGCACCCCUCACCACCGCUGCAGGACCUUCACUACGGACCUAACGCCACCUGGACUCUUCAACCGGCAGUUCCGUACAGUGGAUGGGAAACAUCUACUGAUGACCUCUCGACACACACACACACACACACACACACACUCCUAUCCGAGGGUUGGCAUCUGUUCCAGCGCCUCACACUGGAUCAGGGAUCACACCGCAGACUCACUUCAGGCACACGGGUCAUCCUAACCUCUGAUGCUCAGCCGGCAGGUGGUCCUUCUCCGUGCCAUGUAGACUCCACAGCCACCUUCUCUAUGGGAUUUGCCCCACUUGGUGCUGGACCACAAUGUCUUUAAGUGGAUUUUGCCGUAACGGGUGCCUUGUCCCUUCCUGUGACGGGAGGGGGUGUUACUGGCAGGUCUCCACGGGCGAGCGACAGGGUCACAUUCAGGGGGUGACAUACCUUGAAGGUUAGCAAACGCAAGAAAGCCAUAUGUACAGCGGCACCCCGCCACAACUCACUUACGGUAACGAGGGCUGGAACGCUCACAAAAUGAAUCACACAGCUUCAGGACCCCAAAGAUCAUCUCUAGCAGGCACAAUGGCUUGGAGGCGUCACUCUGUGCCAACCUCCAGUGGAUGUUGACAUCACUGUGCGGGCGACGCCAUGAACAAGGCAAGGGUGUGAGCUUCAUAUUUACACCGUCACUGUAAAAAAAUGUCUUGAGCUGAAUAAUAGAAAGAGAGAAUGUACAAAAUGUCUGCAUGAGCUCCACCUUGAGCGUGGCUUCCUGGAGCCUCCAAACACCCAGCGAGACAUUUAUGUUCACCCAACUUUGUACAGAAGAACCUUUUUUUUUCUGUUUGAUUUAACACCUUCUUAUGAUCGUAUUUUUUAAGCUGUUUUCCGAUUUGAUGUGGUUAUAUUCCGACAUUAAAGCAUGCCUCUGUGCUGUCA